GAGGGUAUAGCUCAAGUGGUAGAGCGCGUGCUUAGCAUGCAUGAGGUCCUGGGUUCAAUCUCCAGUACCGCCU
rnacentral:tRNA from 1 species